CCAGGGACUCACCCACACCAGGGCGUACUUGAACUGGCUGGCGAGUGACCGGUGGAUGCGGUGGCACUGGAGGACAGGAGAGAGUCAGGUAGAGAGGUCUUCCAGGCUCUGGUGGGAGACCCAACGCCUCAGCCCAGCGUCCCUGGGGUGGAGGCCAGCGCCAGGCCUGCAGGAACACUUCCCUGACACAGAUGGGAAGGUGGCUGACUCUGGUCUGCAGAUGGGUUUUGUUUUACUCAGCUUGCCCAGCAUUGCCACUUGAUACAGAUCCCAAGAAGAAAUGAGCUUGAGGAAAACACCACCAGGAAAGCAUCAGCCCAGGAGGACGGCCACGUGACCCGAAGGUUGGCCACCAUCUGUGCCUGCAGGGUCAUGUUCAGGUGACAGAAUCCUGGACAGGGAAAGGCAGCCUCUUGCUCCCUGAGCCCAGAACACCUCCCCUGGGGCCUGUGCAUGCCUGCUUCCCUAACCGGGAUGCUCCCCACCCCAACUCUUCACUGCCAGACCCACUAGUCCUAUAA